rnacentral:tRNA from 21 species
GCUCACUUAGCUCAGUUGGUAGAGCAUCUCCGUCACAUGGAGGGGGUCGGGGGUUCGAAUCCCUCAGUGAGCACCA